ACACGUGAGCAAUCUGCCUUUCAGAGGGGGAUACCGAUUGGAAACGAUCGUUAAUACCGCAUAACAUAAUUGAACCGCAUGAUUUGAUUAUCAAAGAUUUAUCGCUGAAAGAUGAGCUCGCGUCUGAUUAGCUAGUUGGUAAGGUAACGGCUUACCAAGGCGACGAUCGGUAGCCGGACUGAGAGGUUGAUCGGCCACAUUGGGACUGAGACACGGCCCAGACUCCUACGGGAGGCAGCAGUGGGGAAUAUUGCACAAUGGAGGAAACUCUGAUGCAGCGAUGCCGCGUGAGGGAAGAAGGUUUUAGGAUUGUAAACCUCUGUCUUCAGGGACGAAAAAUGACGGUACCUGAGGAGGAAGCUCCGGCUAACUACGUGCCAGCAGCCGUGGUAAUACGUAGGGAGCGAGCGUUGUCCGGAAUUACUGGGUGUAAAGGGAGCGUAGGCGGGAUCGCAAGUCAGAUGUGAAAACUAUGGGCUUAACCCAUAAACUGCAUUUGAAACUGUGGUUCUUGAGUGAAGUAGAGGUAAGCGGAAUUCCUAGUGUAGCGGUGAAAUGCGUAGAUAUUAGGAGGAACAUCAGUGGCGAAGGCGGCUUACUGGGCUUUAACUGACGCUGAGGCUCGAAAGCGUGGGGAGCAAAC
rnacentral:rRNA from 1 species